rfam:Streptomyces thermolilacinus SPC6 TNC:Contig_1, whole genome shotgun sequence.
GGACGAUUAGCUCAGCGGGAGAGCGCUUCCCUGACACGGAAGAGGGCACUGGUUCAAUCCCAGUUUCGCGCA